rnacentral:rRNA from 1 species
UACGUAGGGUGCAAGCGUUGUCCGGAAUCAUUGGGCGUAAAGCGCGCGUAGGCGGCCCGAUAAGUCCGCUGUAAAAGUCAACGGCUCAACUGUUGAAAGCCGGUGGAUACUGUCGGGCUAGAGUACGGAAGAGGCAAGUGGAAUUCCUGGUGUAGCGGUGGAAUGCGCAGAUAUCAGAGGAACACCUAUAGCGAAGGCAGCUUGCUGGGACGUUACUGACGCUAAGGCGCGAAAGCGUGGGGAGCGAACAGG